GUCUGAAUGUGCGCGAGUCAAAGGGCUGGCUAACCCCAAGGCGAACGAAAGUGAAAUGGAAAGGAAAUUUCAUGAUCAUAGGGCUGAUCCGGUUCGGGGUGCGCUGGGGUCGUCGGUUUUAGAGGAGAGGGGUGUGGAGAGGUUGGUAUCUCUUCCUCUCUUUCUCUCCCUCUUCUUCUCUCUCCGAUUCUCCAUCCCCCCGAUUCGUCACCGAUAAAUAUGUGGACGGCGCAAGCCCGGGGCCCGCAACGUUCCUCCCCGUCGCUAAUGCUCGGCCGUUCGUCCCGUCGCGCCCUACCUCCUUUGACGUCGGGAGUCGUCGUGGCGUACCCCGUUUCGGCGGGUGCGCGGCGGCGGCUGCCGCGGCACGAGGAGGAUCCAGCGAAAAAGGGCGUUUCGAGGCGGCGGUCCGCAGACGCGGGACGGACAGCGGGUUCUUCGAGCGCACCUUUUAGGACCCGAAAGAUGGUGAUCUAUGCGUGGCGAGGAUGAAGCCAGAGGAAACUCUGGUGGAGGUCCGUAGCGAUUCUGACGUGCAAAUCGAUCGUCGGAGCUGUGCAUAG
rnacentral:rRNA from 1 species